GUAGCCGGCCUGAGAGGGUGAACGGCCACAUUGGGACUGAGACACGGCCCAAACUCCUACGGAAGGCAGCAG
rnacentral:rRNA from 1 species